CUUGGCUUGCUCACAGAAAGCAUGAAGGUCAGUGAACAUGGUUCGAGCAAUAUGCGUGAGGAGGAGAGUGGGGUGACAUGAGCAAUAAGGAAUUAAGAAUGGGUCAAUGAAAUAUACAGCUCCUUUCUGGAAUGUACCUGUUCUGCUACAACCAUGGAUAUCCUGACCUUUCUGUGCCUUUCAGGGACAAGGGUAAUAGAGGAGUUUCAGACUCCCUCUAAAACAAAACAACAACUGAACAAUAAACAACAGAAAAAGAACACAAAAAAAGACGGUGGUACUCUUUCCCCUUUCCUUGCUUUCUCCUGCUACCAAAACAAACAACAAAAACUACAUUGUCUCAUUGGAUGACGAAGCUAAAAUUUUGUAGCAAAUCUAUAGAAGAAAAGAAGUGGAAAUCUACUCAAGAGCUACUGUAAAACACUGUAUACAAAACAACCACUUUGAUUCACAUUAAAAAGUGUUAUCUGUUUCUUUGAAUUCAUAAG
rnacentral:lncRNA from 1 species